CACAAUGGAUUGGGAUUUUCAACAAGCAUGUCAAGAAUAUACAAUAAGAACAGGAUAGUCUCUUCAAUACAUGGUGGUGAAAAACUGGUUAUCCCCAUGUAGAAGAAUGAAAUUGGACCCUUACCUCACACCAUGUACAAAAAACUCAAAAUAGAUUAAAGACUUAAACAUAAGGCCAGAAAAUGUAAAACGACUAGAAGAAAACAUAUGGGAAAACUCUAUGACAGUGGUCUGGGCAAUGAUUUUUUUGGAUUGGAUCCCAAAGCUCAGGCAACAAAAGCAAAAAUAGACGAAUGAAUGACAUCAAACUAAGACAUGGCAGCAUUGGAGACUAUUAUUCUAAGUGAAGUAACUCAGGAAUGGAAAACCAAACAUCAUAUGUUCUCACUUAUAAGUGGGAGCUAAGCUAUGAGAACACAGAGGCAUAAGAAUGAUACAAUGGGCCAGGUGUGGUGGCUCAUGCCUGUAAUCACAGCACUUUGGGAGGCCGAGGCAGGUGGAUCAUGAGGUCAGGAGAUGGAGACCAUCUUGGCCAACAUGGUGAAACCCCGUCUCUACUAAAAAUAUAAAAAUUACCUGGGCAUGGUGGUGCGUGCCUGUAAUCCCAGCUAUUCGGGAGGCUGAGGCAGGAGAAUCGCUUGAACCAGGGAGUUGGAGGUUGUAGUGAGCCGAGAUCACACCACUGCACUCCAACCUGGUGACACAGUGAGACUCCUCAAAAAACAAACAAACAAACAAAAAGAAUGAUACAUUGGACUUUAGGGACUGAGGGAAAAGAGUGAAAGAGGGGUGAGGGAUAAAAGACUAAACAUUGGGUACAAUGUACACUGUUUGGGUGAUGAGUGCACCAAAAUUUCAGAAAUCGACACUGAAGAACUUCUUCGUGUGACCAAACACCAUCUUUUCCCAAGACUUAGGAUCCAAGACUCUUCAUGAUUGAGAUCCUAUUCACCUGUAGAAAUGUCAUGAACGUGCUCAGUAUAGGGGACUACCCUCAGGGGAGGACGGCCAGUCAUCUGACAUGAGACUGUAUAGCUAGCCUUCUUUGGCAAAUUUACCAAGACCCAUACUCAGAAACUUAGUCAAUAUUUCAUUGGGGGACUUCAACACUGCUUCCACUUAAUAGAGCUCUAAAGCCUGAUGUAUAAAACCAAACCAUGGGAAAUACCAGUGAGAUGUGGACAAGGUGACUCGCUCUGUUUUGUUUCCUAUUGAAAUGAAAGAAAGGAAAAAAGGAACAUAAGCAAACAAAAGAGAAGUGGCAGCACAGCAAAGGAAACAAUUAACAGUGCACAGAGACAACCUACAGACUGGGAGAAAAUAUUUGCAAGCCAUGUACCCAAUAAGGGGUUAAUUUCCAAAAUAUGUAAGGAGCUCAUACAAUUCAAUGGCAAGAAAACAAAAAAUCCAAUGAAAAAUGGGCAAAGAACUUUAAUAGACAUAUUUCUCAAAAGAAAACAUACAAAUGGCCAUCAGAUAUAUGAAAAAAAAAAUGCUCAACAUUACUAACCAUUAAGGAAAUGCAAAUUAAAACCACAAUGAGAUAUCACCUCAUGCCUGUCAGAAUGGCUGUUAACAAAAAGACCAAAGAUAACAAGUGUUGGCAAGGAGUUGGAGAAAAAGUAACCCUUGUACACUGUUGGUGGGAAUGUAAGUCAGUACAGCCAUUACAGAAAAUUGUUUGGAGGUUUGUCAAAGAAACUAAAAAUAAAUGGGUGUGAGGUGAACAGGAUGUCAAUCAUGAAGGGUCUUGGAUGCUAAGUCAACUUGUUUAAUGAACACAUUCAGAAUCUAUAGAAAACCAAAAUAUAAAAUAGAGGUGUUACCACGGUCCCAUGGCUACUUAGUACAAAAACACAGACUAUAACCCAAGUCCCUGAACGUCUUGUCUAAUUGCUCUGAAGAUUGAAUCAGAUUCUGUGAGAGCAUCACUCCUAUCAUCAAAAGUCUUUAAUAAUAGUAAUUAUUGAAUGCUUACUGCUGCAAGCACAGGACUAAUCAUUUUAUGUAGUAUUGUUUAAUGCUUUGAAAUGGUAACUUUAUUAUUUCCAUUAUACAGAGGAUGACAGAAGAAACAGAGAGACUAAGUAAUUUGUCCAAGACCACAAAGUUAGUAAGUUUUGAGGGCAAAAUUCAAACCUAGGCUCUCUGACAUACCCCAGCUUUCAACCGCUAUUCUGUUCUGCUCUGCUUUUUUGUUUUUCAAUACUAGCUAUUUCUGUUGAACCAGAAAAAUUGAGGAUCAUAAGUUUUUGCCUCUUAGAACCGAAUCCAGAUGGCGUUAAGAAUGGAAACCCCAUCCUUUAAGUAUGUUGCAAGAUAUGUUCAGACUCUAAGAAAAUCUAGAGAGAAGCUAUUUUAAUUUCAAAAUCAAAUUUUGAUUUGAUUUUGAGUUUUGUGGUUUAAAUUUAUUUUAAAUUGGCAUUACAUAUUAGGGGAGUACCAUUAUGUUUUCACUGUUCGGGUCACUGAAGUCCUUAAAUCAUCUCUGAAUCUAACUCAUUCUUUUUAAUGCCACAUCCGUUUCACAGAAGUCCCGUAUUUAUUUAACCAGUCCCUAAUAAGUGGCAUUUACAUUAUUUCCCACUUAUAAUUACAAAUAAGGUCAUAAGAAACAUCUGCUCUGUUUCUGUUUAUCUUUGUUUACCUGUAGGCAUGUAUCUGUAUUUAUGGGUAUCAAUUCGUACUAAUCUAAUCUUCAGUUUUUAAUUCUGAUGUUUCCUUGUCAAUUCAAGCACUUUCUGGUAGAAAGAUGAGAAAAUAGAAUUUCUGAGAUCACAAUAUUAAUUAAGGUUCUAGAGAGAGGAAAUAGUUCCUUCUUUCAUUGCCCUAGAAUUUAACUCCAGGAAAUCUUAUUGGGAGAACACAUCUCCUUGUACUUAGAAAACAAGUUUGGGAGUCUUUCACACAGAUAUAGUUGGAGAAGUCUGCAGUCCUCCAGGGCAUCUGACUCAUCUGUAGAUACUAUCAUUACACACUUUCCAUUCUGCCUGUUUUUUCUUUUCUCUCCAAACAUGUAGUCCACAGAUGCUAGCAAAUAAGGGAGAAGGGCAAGAUUCCCCAUCAGGUGUUUUUAUUAUAAUAGACCUGGUGAGAUACAUUGGCUUUUCACUAGGAUGUGGAAGGGACCGUUAAUUUUGAGCCCUGAGUCGUAGGACAGCCUUAGAGGUGAGAGUCCCCUUACAUUAUUAUGAGAUUCCUUUAAAAGCUCAUAGAACAGGACCCAUUCAAGACUGCUGCUUGUGCUGCCUUACAUUGAUUCUACUUUAGAACAAAUAUUCAUGUUAAUACAAGAGCCUAUUAUGUUCUAUAAGCGAGCAUAAAUCUUUUCCUUAGAGAACACACCACUAUAUUAACCAAUUUGGAUAUACACAGCAGAGGGCAGAACUUGUCUUGGAGUAAUUAAUUUGUAAUUAGUCAGCUAAGGGUGUGUGAGUAUGAAUGCACAUGUGCAAAUAUACUGGCCUUCAAACAUUCACCCCGAGCCUCCUGCGUAGAUGACACUACCCCGGUUGUGUAGAAAAGAGGAACUCUUCGAAAUCUGGAACUCAGAAUUUCUACGUCGCUGUCUUUUCUUAACCUCAAAAGAAUGUUUUUUCUCCAGAAAUUAAAUCUACUUUGUAUCCACUCCUAUUUUCAAAACUGGGUAGCCACGUUGGGACCUCAUGUUUCUUGGAGAAUUUGCUGUUUCCACAGAGCUCUGAUCUCUGAUGGCUUUGUAAAGAGCGACGGCUCGGUCUUCAGCACAUGCAGCUUACCUGAUUAGUUGUCAUUAAAGCUAAUGUAAGACAAAUACUCAUCUGGUAAGGAGAGUGCCUGUAACUUUAAUAAUGCCUGAGGGAGUAUGUAUGACCUCACACCUCCAACCCAGACAUUGUUUAACCAUACCCCACAACUUGUGAAUUUCAAUUAUUUGUUCAGAGGAGCCAUUCAUAAUUGCCUGGUAUAAGCCUGCCUUUAGGAUGCAAAGCAGAAGACAAAUGAAAAUGCUACCCGAGCGAAUCAGGGUAGCAGCACUUAAACAUAUAAAUGAACUAGGCCUCUUUUCACAGCUCCCCCUUUCUAUUCUGAGAGGUUUCAGUCUGGUGACAUCAAAGGCAGGAUUAUGGGUGAAGAUAAAAACUUGAUCUAAUGUCCAUGUUUGAAGUCAUGAAAGUCCUCCUCUCUCCGUGGCAAAAUAACCCUCUUCAUAACACACACACACAAAAACCGGGGUCCAGGUGCAAAGGGGUUGGGGGUAGGAUGAGGAUGGGGGAAGGCUUGAGCUGGCUUUGUUCUGCAAAUUAAUAUGUUAAGUCUUUCUUUUAAGCUUGUGUGAUGUUGGCAUGGUUCUUUAAUGAGAUUUUAACUAGAUUUCCUUUACUAUCUGCAAAGACUAGAAGAGAUUUUUUUUAAUGUUGAAGAAGAGUGAUCUCUAACUUCAAUGCCGUUAACCAAUAUUUCCUUUAAUGCUAUUUGUCAAUCAGAUGUCUUGUCCAGUAACAAACUAUAGUAUUUGUGUCCACUCUGCACCGAUGGGAUAUGAAGCAUAUGUAUUUACAAGGUUCAAGAGAGAUAGGUUAAGGCGAUAGGCUUGAAAAUUUUAUAAUGAAUAGUUUUUUGGGGGGUAGGCAAAAGUUUGCGGGAGGAAAGUAUACAUAAUUUGAAGGUAUCACCUUACUUUGUAAUUCAUAGAAAUUGUUUGAGAUGAAUACAAACCUCGGUCCUCAAAAAGUAUGUGCAGCUGCAUUGCCUGGCUGCACAGUCAGGAAGAUUUAUUUUCAAAACUCCGCAAGCUACAGGCCCAUGAUUUUAAAAGUCUUUAGUCCUUUAAGCAGUAAAUCAGCAUUCAAGUGGCUGGUUAAUCUCCCAAGGGCCAAAAUGAAGUGCUCUGACCUAGAUUAUAACAGACUGACUGUUAGAAAACUCUUUCGGUAAGACCAAACCUAGGAAGCAUGAAGUAUAAACAGAGCCUGCAGAUAAAAAUUGCUGUGUUGGAGUCCUUCGUCACCUUCUCCUUGUCUCCUUUGAAGACUCCUGUGGACUUGAAUCAAAAAAAUAAAAUAAAAUAAAAUCUUUUAUUAUGGGGAGUUGGUACCAAGUAUUACAAUUUUGUCUGACAAACUUAGUUUUUUAGGUUCAGCAACCAUGAAAAGCCCUUAGCUCCUGUCUGAAUUCUCAGCCUUUUCAGCUUGGAGAUCUCAUGGACUCUGUGUUACUACUGUCUGUACUUUUGCUCAUCUAUAUUUUCAGCACACAUUCAAAGCGAGAAGGCCACACAUCAAUGCAAUCCAUCACACCAAGGGAUACGCUCCAUUGUGAACAAUGGCUCUGCCUAACAGUUGAAGAGGCCUUUAAUCUCCUCGUAUUUAUCUAAGUUUACCAAAAAAUUAAACCUCCUAGUUUACCCAAAGGGUAGGUCUUGGCUAUGUGUAGAUAUUACCUUUUUCUAGAAAAGUCAGAUUCUAAGAAGUAUAGAUGUGACAGAAUCUUCUCUUUUCUCUCUGGAGGUUCAAUAUUUGAGUUUCAGAAAUAAACUCGGCAGCCAGGCACAGUGGCUUAUGCCUGUAAUCCCAGCACUUUGGGAGGCCGAGGCAGGCAGAUUACCUGCGGUCAGGAGUUCGAGACCAGCCUGACCAACAUGGUGAAACCCCAUCUCUACUAAAAAUACAAAAAAAUUAGCCAGGCGUGGUGGCAGACACCUGUAAUCCCAGCUACUCAGGAGGCUGAGGCAGGAGAAUCGCUUGAACCCGGGAGGCAGAGGUUGCAGUGAGCCGAGAUUAUGUCUCCGUACUCCAGCCUGGGCAACAGAGCAAGACUCUGUUUCAAAAUAAAUAAAUAAAUAAAUAAACUCAACAGUAGACACAUUAACAGGACAAAAGGGAUACAAAUGUAUUAUGUGCAUACACACAGGGCUCCCACAAAGUUUGAGACUCAAAGAAGGCCAGAUGGGUUGAAGCUUAAAUAGCAUUUUGAGCUACAGAAAGAAAUAGGAGCUGGGGGCUCCUAGGGGAUGAUGACAACAAACUAUAGGAGGGUGAGGAGAGGAACCGCACUGCCAACAAAGGUUGUCUUAAUGUGCAGAUAAAUUCUCUCAGGUAGCAGCUCUCAGAAGGAUAGGUGAAAAGUCUGUCUGGAUGUGGUGUCCUGGGUAUAGACCUUUAGUCUCUUUUCCUGAGAUAUGAGUUUUGUUGUUGUUGUAUUGUUUUUUUGUUUUUUUUUUUUCUGAGACCGAGUCUCACUCUGUCACCCAGGCUGGAGUGCAGUGGCACGACCUUGGCUCACUGCGACCUCCACCUCCCAGGUUCAAGUGAUUCUCCUGCCUCAGCCUCCCAAGUAGCUGGGACUACAGGCAUGUGCCACUGUGCCCGGCUAAUUUUUGU
rnacentral:lncRNA from 10 species